rnacentral:lncRNA from 10 species
AAAAACUCAUCGUGAAGGACCAUGUCUUAUCCAUCUUGUAUCCCAAGUUCUUAGUACAGUGCUGGAUGUAAAAGGAAGAAAAACUCCAAAGCAAAGGAUAGAGAAGUUAGAAGUCCUGGCAGCGAUCAAUAUGGACCCACCUCUCUAUUUUCAAGAGCAUUAAAUUCAGUUAAAAACUAAAAACAAAAAUACUGCCAAGGGAUUGAGACGGUAAAGUAACAUCAUGCCUGAUAGAAUAAACUAUCAAGACAGCAUGAACAAACCCAACUGAAAUGGAACAAGCAAGCUUAACACAAGUCAAAGAAGCUCUCUAGAGUGUUAAAAUGAAAAUACAACUAAACAGAACCAAAACUGCUAUUCAUGGGAAUAGCAAAUGAAGAAUUUUCUUCAGAAUCUACACGGAUAACUUCUAUGAGAUUAUUCAAAAUGUGGAAAUUUUUUUCAGAAUUUUUGUUUCCAAAUGGAAUUUAAUACAUUUCAUGAAACAAAUGAAAUUUUAUCAGAAAUAAAACAUUUAAAUUACCAAAAGCCUAGCCUCCUUAGGAAGGCUGUUUUAGGAAGACAUGGGUAGAAAUAUUUUCAUCAAAGCCCUGAUCAUCUUCCCUUUUUGAGGUGAAAUCACUCUACUCUGCUGGAAACCUACAUUUAGUUAUUUAUAAACCAGUAUUAAAUGUAUAUUGUUUCAAAUCUCUAUGUAGGAAAAAUAUCCCACAUUCAUUCCCAUUUUACUAUGAACUGUAUAAACUUCCAAAAUCAUCAUGAAAAGAAAAA